UUUUUUGACUUGAUGUAGAAACCACCCAUUGGUCUCUUGCGGCAUGAACAUUCCACUGAGUAUCAGCAACUUCCCAAGGAGUAGAAUGUCUUAGCAUUCUUGGUGGAUUAUAAGGAUUAUCAAGAUCUAAGACUAGUAAACCAUAACGUGAAGCUAAAGCUAUAUCUCUACCACAAGGAGAUAAAGACAUAGCACCCACUGGUUGAUUAACUUCAAUUGAUAAUUGUCUAUCAAACGUAGUACUAUCAAAAGGGCCGUAUUCCACAUUGCUGUUAGAAUUCGAUGGUAACUGCAAGUCUUCAUCUUCGGAAGGGAUGAUGACCGUGGAAUCCAUAUUUCUUCGCAACCGACCAGAAACACCCUGAGAGUUAAAAGAUAUUCGACGAGAUCCAUAACUACCAUCGUCAAAAGAAGAAGAUGAUAUGGAAGUUAAACCUUGCAACCUUUGUGUCGGUGUUUGAGAAUAUGCAACAAUGGUACUAGACCUUACACUUUCUGAAAAAUUUGCAAAGGAGUUAGAAGCUUUUUUAAUUAAUAUCUUAGAAUCGUUUAGCUUAUUGUCCAACGUUUCUGAGUGAUCUUUAGAGAUUGUUGACGAUGAAGCUAGUUGAUCACCGUCUUGUGCAGUGUUUGAUUGAGCGCUUAGAGCAGUGGACGAUUCAUGGAUCAUUGAUUCAAGACUGUCUUUCUCCAAUUCAAAGUUGCAUAAUUCCCCGCUAUCAUCCAUAUUAUAGUAUGAAGAUGGGUUUUCAGAAUUAAAUUGCUUAUUGGGGUAAUUCAAGGUACGUUCAUCUUGAAGAGAUUUCAAUGAAUGUUCAUAAUCAAUAGGCGAAGAAUUUUUUACAACCGAAUCACUCGGAGGAGACUUUCUUGAAGAAUCGUCUCCCUGUAAUUCCCUCAUCUUUUUCGAUAUGGGCCAGGUGACUGUAGCAAUUUCAGGAUU